GGCGUUCCCUGCGCCAACGGGAUGAAAAGGGAAUCAGGUGAGAAUCCUGAACAGUACCCGCUGCUGUAACUCCCCCGCGACACAUCGCACGGCAUCAUGCCACUGGUUGCAACAUCACGCUGCAUCAUCACCGGGAAGGCGCCACGAGCGAUGGAGGAGAAGUCAGAAGACCUGCCUAUAC
rnacentral:ncRNA from 1 species